rnacentral:lncRNA from 1 species
CGGGGAGGACGGGGAGAGAGAUUAACCGAUUCGGAUCUAAUGUUAGCAUUUCCUACUUCGGGUGUCUCACCAAUAUUUUCAUCAUCUUCAUCUAAAUCAACCGCAUCUACUUCAUUUUCUUCUUCUAUACCGUAAUUUUUUUGAACUUCUAAAUAAUCCAUAUCGUGAGCACCUACACCUAUUUCUUCCUCAAAAGGUUGACUAAGUGGUACCGGAGGCGAAGGCACACGGGUAUAUCUAGUACUUGAAGUACCUCUACCGCUAGCAAUUCACUUUUUGCUACCACUAC